rnacentral:misc_RNA from 1 species
CAUUCAUGGGUUACUGCAAACCCUCUUCAAUUUGAAGUUUUUUUGAUACUUUUUGAAUUUUGUGCCAAUAAAGUAUUGGACUUGAACUGGGUUUCCAAGAUAAUGAAGAAUCAAAGUGAUUUACGGUUGCUCGGAUCUGAUUAUACGGUGAUUGGAGAGAAGCGAAGUAGUAGCGGAUUGGGAGAGAAACAAGAAAGUGCUCAUAAGCGGAUUAAAAUGAGAAAUCUUGAUUCCGUGUUGAGGUCUGAAGAAAUUUCUCAAGUUACCAGUUUGCCUGUAACCUUGGAUCCGGAUGCUACGCAAGUAGAAAGACGUGGAAGGACUUCAUUAUCAGUCGAGGUC